CGCGGUCCAGGUUUGCGGGGGGGGAGGGUAGGAAGGUUUGAACUCCACGGGACCAAAAUUAAAAAUAAGGUCGGAUAGAGCAGGUAUUCCUCCCCCCUUGCGGGUCCAAAAAAAAGAACGUUUAAAAUUACCUUGAAGGCUUGGAAGUAAAAAAUCGUAACAAGGUUUCCGUAGGUGAACCUGCGGAAGGAUCAUUACCGAGUUGAUUCGGGCUCCGGCCCGAUCCUCCCACCCUUUGUGUACCUACCUCUGUUGCUUUGGCGGGCCGCGGUCCUCCGCGGCCGCCCCCCUCCCCGGGGGGGUGGCCAGCGCCCGCCAGAGGACCAUCAAACUCCAGUCAGUAAACGAUGCAGUCUGAAAAACAUUUAAUAAACUAAAACUUUCAACAACGGAUCUCUUGGUUCUGGCAUCGAUGAAGAACGCAGCGAAAUGCGAUAAGUAAUGUGAAUUGCAGAAUUCAGUGAAUCAUCGAAUCUUUGAACGCACAUUGCGCCCUUUGGUAUUCCGAAGGGCAUGCCUGUUCGAGCGUCAUUACAACCCUCAAGCUCUGCUUGGUAUUGGGCACCGUCCUUUGCGGGCGCGCCUCAAAGACCUCGGCGGUGGCGUCUUGCCUCAAGCGUAGUAGAACAUACAUCUCGCUUCGGAGCGCAGGGCGUCGCCCGCCGGACGAACCUUCUGAACUUUUCUCAAGGUGACCUCGGAUGCAGGUCAGUGCCCUCU
rnacentral:rRNA from 1 species